rfam:Microgenomates bacterium GW2011_GWA1_45_10 TW86_C0006, whole genome shotgun sequence.
GGCCCGGUGCGAGAUCAGUUAUCGACCUGUCUGCAAAACAGGGAAGAUGGGUGCAAUUCCCAUCCGGGCCU